UGCUACGAUGCUCCGGGAGGACUUGGAACAGGCGCUGGGCGGGGUUUCGCCGUUCCGCGGAACGCCGGGAAGGGGUCACUUUCAGAUGAAGGUUCCGGUUCCGGUGCGGGCAGAGGUUGCGUUGCCACGGCAGCGCGGUUGGCUGGCCGCUGGUUCUUGCUUUCCGGGUGGUGGCUGGGCUGGAGCAGGCUUGGAUCCGCCGUUCCUGGCUUAGGCGAGCUUCCCGGAGCUUCAGUAAGGCCGCGGCUGUUCGCGGCGGAAGCAGGGACUGCGCCGGCCUCUGGCGGCCAGGCCUGCCCGGGGCUACGGCGUCGGGGCCCGGGCCGUGUGUCGCAGCCCUCCUGUGGUCCCGCUGCCCCCGUGGGAGCAGAGGCCCAGACCCCUUCCCGUGGUUCCCGCCUCUGCAGCGCGAUUAUUCCACUAAAACAACUUUGAUUUUUAAAGUUUGUAAAGAGCUCUCGUCUGUGUGAUCGGGGCUUCGCUGACUUUCCAGCCGACCUAAGCCCCUGGGCCUGGGCCCAGGAAAGGUUUGUUGAAUGGGGAACUAAGAAAGGAAUUGGUUCGUUCGACAGACGUUUCCUGAGCAGCUGCUGCGUGCAGGGCACGGUGCCGGCGCGGGACCUGUGCCCAGAGCUUGAGAACUGAGAAGCAGAGUCAUUGAUUCCAGGUAAAUCAGAGGAACAAACAUCAUACAGAAAUAUACAGGACAGUAAUAUACAGGAAGCGACGUGAUGUCGAAGCUUAACUGUUGUUUCAAAAGUCCAGCAUCUGGUGUACCUAACAGUAGGGGCUAUAUUGUUUGCAAAGUUACCUAACUUUUACUCAUACUUAUGUUCUGAUCCCACAUGCUGCAGAGCAACUAAGCCCAUGCACCACAACUACUGAGUCUGCGCCCUAGAGCCUGCGAGCCACAACUACUGGAGCCCGUGAGCCACAACUACUGAAGCCCGAACGCCUAGAGCCCGUGCUCCGCAACAAGAGAAGCCACCGCGAUGAGGAGCCCAUGCACAGCAACAAAGACCCAACUCAGACAAAAAUAAAAAUAAAUAAAUAAAUUUAUAUAUUAGAAAAAAGAAUGAACCAGAAGUAAAAAAAAAAAAAAGAUUGUUAAUAACAUCUUUUUGAGAGACUUGAGCACUUUGGGUUCCUCUUUUUACCUUCACAAGCACUUCUUAAAUCUUACUGCAGAAUCAUAGCAAAGCCAGCAAGUCCCACAGAAAAUUAAAUAUUCCUGAAUUAUCUCCAGGGUAGGUAUGUAUUGGAUACAGAUGUGAUUUUUAUGCUUUGUGAAACUAAACUGACAACAAUUUCAAUGCAAAACUCCAGUGAAACAAAUAACCCGUAGCUUUUCACUUCUGAAAGUUUCAUUCUCUUUUGUCCCCAUGCUGCUUUUUCUCAGUGAGGCCUGAAGUCCCUGGCUAUAUAUAGGCUUUUAAAAUCAGACACCUGCUGGACUUUGUUCUAUUGAGAACUUUAUUUUGAGGGAAAGAGCCCAAAUCAUAUCUCCUGUCAGGUAAUAUUAAGAAUUAAGUGGUAAUCAUAAAACAUGUUAAGACUUAAGUAAAGUUGAUAAAAGAAUUGUUGACUUUUCCUCAACUGUCUGUUUAGUGAAAAAUUUUAAUGUUUUGUGUUAUGUUUCUUUUUUUUUUGCAAGCAGAUAGAGUCCAUAAUUCAAACUGUCAUUACAUUUCCAGCGACUUCUGAGAAGGUGCCUAGACCACAGAAUUUAGAAAGCAAGGAGCCAGUACUGUUGUGUGUCACACUUGUUAGGAAGAUUUAUCUGUUGGCAGGAGUCUUGUGUCCCCCUCUGAUAAUCACUGAGCUUGCAGCCAGACGAACACUGAGAAAAUUUUAUUGUUUUCCUUUGAAUGAUGGCUAAGAUGUAUUGCCAAGGCCAUAAAUAUUCUUUAUGUUGAGUCAGAAUUUCAUUUCGUACUUCAGCCUUUGAGCCUUAAUAAUUUCAUGCUUCAAAAUUAAAUCUUGCUUUCAUGGGAAUCCACUGCUCUAGCCUACUUCAACAAAGUAGCUAGCGAAGGACCCCAGUAUCACGGAUUGGGGGAGUGGGUUGGAAAUUGGCUGACAUUAACUGUUCAUUUUCCUUUGCAGGAAAAAAACUGGUGGAUUUUAAAAAAUAUUUUUUCCUGCUCUUAUGGCCAGAAAAAUCUCACUUGCUAAUUCUAAACUUUACACUUUUUGCAAGUGUACUCUACUGAGAUAGAAUUAAUUGAUACCAAAUUUCUGUGAGCCAGAGUUUUGAAGUUUUAAUAAAAGACUAUAUUAUAAACUAGUUACACUGUAAAACAAAUAAUAAAUAAAUAAUAAAAGAAGGGAGGAGCAUUUUGCAUAGGCUGCACUUGCAAAAUUGAGUCACCAAGAGAAUUUUGUAUCAAAAGCCUUGAGAAGGUGACAUAUUUGCUGGCUUUCUCCCCUCUCCAGACAUCCAGUGAUGUGCACUUAGUGUAACUCUAAGCACAUAUGUCAGUCCACUUGGUGAGCUAUUCCCAUUGGUUCAUCUCUUCAUACGGCUCAGCUGCAGCUCUGUGGUGGUUCAUGCAUACUGCCGGCUGGUGGGGAACAGGGCCAAUAAUACCCUCCUACUUGAAGGGAUUUUUGAAUCCCUUCUUGAAAAUAACCCAUCAUCUUUCAAAAUCAUUCUAUCUUUUGAGAAACUUGGAGCAUUUCAUAAUGAGUCUCUGCCUUACCCCACAAGACAGGUAGGGGGCGCUAGUCUAUCUUACUUAGGAAGCAGGGGCAGCAGGAGCCAAUAAGUGCUGUCGCUGUCAGCGCACACAGUGUCUGGGAAUUAAUCAGCCAGCCGGUUUCUAGGAAGAGGCUCUCAGUUCCCAUCCAAGUCCUGUUCUUAUUUUAGGGAAUGGUUUACUCUCUCAGUUUUCUAAUAUUACAGCCACAACAGAUUAGAAGCAGUAAAUUUAAAAGGCUAACACUAAAACCAGGAAGAAGCAAUGACUAACAGGUUAACAGGAGAUUUUUUAAAUUGAGAAGCAGAUAUUUGGGGAUUUUCCUCUUUUUCUUUUUUUUUUUUGAAAAGUCACAUUCUGGAAGCGUUUGGUGUAAGCAGGGGCAAACAUCCCUCACAUGUCACAGUUCCUUGAGCAUUAGAGCCCUGUGUAGUAAUUCUAAAUCAUCCAGAAAAGGAAAUGGUAUUUCACGUGCUUUGGUUAAGAAGUCAAGGAAGCGUAGUAUAUAUUAGAUUGCCAACAAAAAUUAUACAGACUCAUGGCCUAAGGGGGUUGUGUUAAAUAAAUUUCAGAGGAAUACUUUCUUCCCUCAUUAUGCCAGAUAAACAGAGUUUUAUUCUACUUUUUCUUUUUUAAUAUUUUUAUUUCUUUAUUUAUUUGGCCGUGCCGGGUCUCAGUUGCGGCACUCAGGAUCUUCGCUGAGGCACGCAGG